GAUGAACGCUGGCGGCAUGCCUAAUACAUGCAAGUCGAACGAGAGGAAGGAAAGCUUGCUUUUCUGAAUCUAGUGGCGAACGGGUGAGUAACACGUAGGUAACCUGCCCAUGUGCCCGGGAUAACUUCUGGAAACGGAUGCUAAAACCGGAUAGGUAGCAGACAAGCAUUUGACUGCUAUUAAAGUGGCGAAGGCCAUGAACAUGGAUGGACCUGCGGUGCAUUAGCUAGUUGGUGAGGUAACGGCCCACCAAGGCGACGAUGCAUCGCCGGCCUGAGAGGGCGGACGGCCACAUUGGGACUGAGACACGGCCCAAACUCCUACGGGAGGCAGCAGUAGGGAAUUUUCGUCAAUGGGGGGAACCCUGAACGAGCAAUGCCGCGUGAGUGAGGAAGGUCUUCGGAUCGUAAAGCUCUGUUGUAAGAGAAAAACGACAUUCAUAGGGAAUGAUGAGUGAGUGAUGGUAUCUUACCAGAAAGUCACGGCUAACUACGUGCCAGCAGCAGCCGCCGUAA
rnacentral:rRNA from 1 species